GAUGAACGCUGGCGGCGUGCCUAAUACAUGCAAGUCGAGCGAACGGACGAGAAGCUUGCUUUUCUGAUGUUAGCGGCGGACGGGUGAGUAACACGUGGAUAACCUACCUAUAAGACUGGGAUAACUUCGGGAAACCGGAGCUAAUACCGGAUAAUAUUUUGAACCGCAUGGUUCAAAAGUGAAAGACGGUCUUGCUGUCACUUAUAGAUGGAUCCGCGCUGCAUUAGCUAGUUGGUAAGGUAACGGCUUACCAAGGCAACGAUGCAUAGCCGACCUGAGAGGGUGAUCGGCCACACUGGAACUGAGACACGGUCCAGACUCCUACGGGAGGCGGCAGUAGGGAAUCUUCCGCAAUAGGCGAAAGCCUGACGGAGCAACGCCGCGUGAGUGAUGAAGGUCUUCGGAUCGUAAAACUCUGUUAUUAGGGAAGAACAUAUGUGUAAGUAACUGUGCACAUCUUGACGGUACCUAAUCAGAAAGCCACGGCUAACUACGUG
rnacentral:rRNA from 1 species